AUACGAAGGGUGCAAACGUUAUUCGGAAUCAUUGGGUGUAAAGGGUGCGUAGACGGUGUACCAAGCUCGUUGUUAAAUACUCCGGCCCAACCGGAGAAUUGCAGUGAGAACUGGUACGCUCGAGGAUGGAAGAGAGAAGUGGAAUUCCCGGAGUGGCGGUAAAAUGCGUAGAUCUCGGGAGGAACACCGAUGGCGAAGGCAGCUUCUUGGUCCAUUCCUGACGUUGAGGCACGAGAGCGUGGGGAGCAAACAGGAUUAGAUACCCUGGUAGUCCACGCCGUAAACGAUAAUCACUAGACGUUGGACUGGCUUUGCUGGUUCAGUGUCGAAGCUAACGCGUUAAGUGAUUCACCUGGGGAGUACGGUCGCAAGAUUAAAACUCAAAGGAAUUGACGGGGUCCGCACAAGCGGUGGAACAUGUGGUUUAAUUCGACGCUACGCGAGAAACCUUACCUGGGUUUGACAUGUAUUCGACAGUCGUAGAGACACGAUUUUCUGGAUUUAUUCAGACGGAUACACAGGUGC
rnacentral:rRNA from 1 species